rnacentral:rRNA from 1 species
CAGUCGCCGCGGGAAUACGUAGGGUGCAAGCGUUAAUCGGAAUUACUGGGCGUAAAGCGUGCGCAGGCGGUUAUAUAAGUCGGAUGUGAAAUCCCCGGGCUCAACCUGGGAACUGCAUUUGAGACUGUAUGGCUAGAGUGUGUCAGAGGGGGGUAGAAUUCCACGUGUAGCAGUGAAAUGCGUAGAUAUGUGGAGGAAUACCGAUGGCGAAGGCAGCCCCCUGGGAUAACACUGACGCUCAUGCACGAAAGCAUGGGGAGCAAACAGGAUUAGAGACCCGCGUAGUCCCUGUCUCUUAUAC